GCGGUCUGGCUCGACUCCGUUGCUGCUGCCGCUCCGUGGCGACUGCCGACACUCGUCUGGGGUCUGAGCAGUCUGGCAGUGUUAUCUGAACAGUGGUGUUGAGCGGUUGUAUAUCAGGGAGGCGCCGAGUCUACCCUGCCAUGUGACUGAUAAGGUGUUGAAGUUCCGGAAGAGUGUUGAUAUAUUUCCAUCACGGACCUUCAGCAUUCACUCCACAAUACCCCCAGUCAACGUAUGACUUCCUCCUCAUCUCCGCUUCUUCCUGGUAAACCAUGGCGAGGAACAGAGGAAGCUCACCAGACGAAGAGUGAGGGAAGUUGUCGUCUGGGAUGUGAGGUGGGGUGCUGGGUGUUGCUCCUGCUGGUGCCGGAGCUUCAACGGUUGUAAUGUGCCUGUGUAUGUGUGUGCUUGAAAAUUAACGAGAUUUAUGAGAGAUGUGUCUGAACUGAGCUACAGCUGCUGACUCCUAUAUCGACUCUCCCACACAUGUUCCGGUCAUCAGUUUCAAACAGUCAUUUAUAACUGUAGCAAGGGAAGAGAUAUUGAGUAGCGGUAGUGUGUGUUGUGUGGUACGCCCCUUGAAGAUGAUUUUUUUGUUGACUCUUGUCGGGUCGGGGAUAUGCGUGGAUUUGGGAGGUGUUGUGUCAGUUUGAGACCCCCAGAGGCACAGUACGCCAAGAGAUAUGUACCAGGGGUGAACUCCAACAUGGGAUCGCAAUCCUAGUAUACUGAUGCCGACGAUGGUGAUUAUGUGCAUUGAACCUCGGUGGAAGUGAAUUAACAGUGAUAGUAAUACGAAAUACAGAUAACAGCAUCAUCAGAUAAAAAAAAAACAUAUCAGUGUAAGUAAAACAUAAUACCAAAAGUCUAAAGAAAAUCCU